CCUAAGACAGGAAUUUGGGCAUAAAUGAUGCAUUGAAGGCAUGAUCUUCAGUAACACCUGUAAGGAAAUGAAGGAAGCAAGAUAGGGAAGAGAAAUGAGAUGGGCAAGGAUGUGUCCUCAAAUCCCCUCAUCUGAGUGAUGGUUGAAGUCACUUGUGUGGAGGAUACUGCCAAGAAGACAAAGGACUGCAUCUGGGGGAUGCCAGAUUAAGAUACAGGCAAAUAAAUAGGAUUAAUGAAGAGAGGAAGGAAGAUUUUAAGAUAUAAAUACUCCUUUUUCCUUCCCAGUGAAAUAAAUCUAUCUACCAGAGUUCUAUAACCACAGUAAAGAAAGUGAAUCAGAGGAGAG